AGAGUUUGAUUAUGGCUCAGAAUGAACGCUGGCGGCAUGGAUUAGGCAUGCAAGUCGAACGUACUCCCUUCGGGGAGAAAGUGGCGAAAGGGUGAGUAACACGUGAGCAACCUGCCUCCGGAUCCGGAAUAAUCCGAGGGAAACUUGGUCUAAAAACCGGGAUGAAAGACAUUUGGUCCGCAUGGGUCUGAUGUUAAAAUAUUUAUAGUCCGGAGAGGGGCUCGCGGCCAUUAGCUUGUUGGCGGGGUAAUGGCCCACCAAGGCUACGACGGGUAGGUGGUCUGAGAGGAUGGUCACCCACACUGGGACUGAGACACUGCCCAGACUCCUACGGGAGGCUGCAGUCGAGAAUCUUCCGCAAUGGGCGCAAGCCCUGACGGAGCGAUGCCGCGUGAGGGAUGAAGGCCUUCGGGUUGUAAACCUCUGUCAUCCGGGACGAAAACAAUGACGGUACCGGAAAAGGAAGCCACGGCUAACCACGUGCCAGCCGCCGC
rnacentral:rRNA from 1 species